rnacentral:snRNA from 1 species
AUCACUUCUCAGCCUUUUGGCUAAGAUCAAGUGUAGAAUAACAUUUUCUUUUGGUUUUUGUAAAAUCAACUUCAU